AAUAAUAGAAUUAUGGAUAAUGCAUCUAUCUCAGAAACUUCAAGUAAUCAUUCUUUUCGAGAUCCAGAACCCCCAAGAAAAUCCAUUACUUCUUAUACUAGAAUUCCUUCAAUAAUAAGUAUUCCAUCAACACCAAAACCACAGAUUGAUGGACUUCUGUGAACAUCUGAUAAUAUCAUUAUACCCCAAUAUAGAAAAGCUGAAGAAGAACCUGCUGAGGCAGAAUUCGUUCAAGUAUUACAGCUUGAAGAAACAUUCACCCGAGAUGAUAUUAUCAAAGAUUUUUUAUCUCCAGA
rnacentral:lncRNA from 1 species